rnacentral:rRNA from 1 species
AGUCACGCCCAAAAGAAACAACAAAGAAAGAGCAAAAGAAACAAAUGCCGACAACGGCGGAUCAACAAAAACGAAGAAGUCUCGCGAUCGCUAGGCCCACCGGGCUCAUCCACUAGGCUCCAAGACUCCGAAGCACCGGCACCAAUCAACACCUCCAAGAAGGAUCGCGACGAUGACGACGCUGCUGCCAAGGGUUUCCCCCGGUACACGACGAGGCGAGAGGAAGAGAAGCCCCCGACGCCCUCCCGGAAGGACAGGCGGCACCCACAGGCGCCACCGCGCCGGAGUCGGCCACGCCGACAGGGGUUUCCCCCGAUCCCAACCCGCACCUCGGGCGCUUCGGAUCCCGCCACCAAACCAACCACCACCCUGCGCCAACGCGGUCGUGAGGCCUCCACGCUGUCUCACCACGGCACCGCGAAGUGAGGACAGCACGACGAAGAAUCAGAGCCGGGACUAGGGCAUCAGCACCAUCGGCACGCGGGAGGGCCCCACCUCCACUGUCAGCGACAGUAGCCGUCCGGACGCAAUAGCAGGAGCACACCAGGCCCGUAGGCCCACAGGCCCGGCCGAGCCCUUGUGGGCCCGUAAAGCUCCCGCCUUCGCGCUGCUGCCGGCACGCCAUCGGCGCCGACGCCCCAAGUCCGAGCCGCUCCUCCUCCUCACCACGCCGCAGACAAC